rfam:Myotis brandtii contig228147, whole genome shotgun sequence.
ACUCCCUUUGGCAGCACCUACUAAAAUUGGAAUACAGAGAAGAUUGCUGUGGUCCCUGCAAAAGGAUGACACGCAAAUUUGCAAAGCAUUCCAUUAAAAA